UCGGAAACAUCAUGGAACAAUUGACUGAAAUUCAGGACGUGAUCUUUCACCAUCUUUUGUUUUUCUAUUUUGUUUGAUUGCUAUUACUGUUCUGUUGCU
rnacentral:ribozyme from 1 species